rnacentral:rRNA from 1 species
UACGAAGGGGACUAGCGUUGUUCGGAAUCACUGGGCGUAAAGCGCACGUAGGCGGAUUUGUAAGUCAGGGGUGAAAUCCCCGGGCUCAACCUCGGAACUGCCUUUGAUACUGCGAAUCUUGAGUCCGAUAGAGGUGGGUGGAAUUCCUAGUGUAGAGGUGAAAUUCGUAGAUAUUAGGAAGAACACCGGUGGCGAAGGCGGCCCACUGGAUCGGUACUGACGCUGAGGUGCGAAAGCGUGGGGAGCAAGCAGG